rnacentral:rRNA from 1 species
CUACGGGUUGCUCCAGUGGGGAAUAUUGCACAAUGGAGGAAACUCUGAUGCAGCAACGCCGCGUGGAGGAUGACACAUUUCGGUGCGUAAACUCCUUUUAUAUGAUAAGAUAAUGACGGUAUCAUAUGAAUAAGCUCCGGCUAACUCCGUGCCAGCAGCCGCGGUAAUACGGGGGGAGCAAGCGUUACUCGGAAUCACUGGGCGUAAAGAGCAUGUAGGCUGAUAGAUAAGUUGGAAGUGAAAUCCUAUGGCUUAACCAUAGAACUGCUUCCAAAACUGUCUGUCUAGAAUAUGGGAGAGGUAGAUGGAAUUUCUGGUGUAGGGGUAAAAUCCGUAGAGAUCAGAAGGAAUACCGAUUGCGAAGGCGAUCUACUGGAACAUAAUUGACGCUGAGAUGCGAAAGCGUGGGGAGCAAACAGGAUUAGAUACCCCAGUAGUC